AAACCGACACAGGUGGUCAGGUAGAGAAUACUAAGGCGUACGAGAUAACUAUGGUUAAGGAACUCGGCAAAAUACCCUCGUAACUUCGGGAGAAGGGGGACCUCGCUUGGUGACCGGACUUGCUCCGUGAGCUGAACGAGGUCGCAGAGACCAGUGAGAAGCGACUGUUUACUAAAAACACAGGUCCGUGCGAAGUCGCAAGACGAUGUAUACGGACUGACGCCUGCCCGGUGCUGGAAGGUUAAGAGGACCCGUUAACCCUUGGGUGAAGCGGAGAAUUUAAGCCCCAGUAAACGGCGGUGGUAACUAUAACCAUCCUAAGGUAGCGAAAUUCCUUGUCGGGUAAGUUCCGACCUGCACGAAUGGCGUAACGACUUCUCAACUGUCUCAACCAUAGACUCGGCGAAAUUGCACUACGAGUAAAGAUGCUCGUUACGCGCGGCAGGACGAAAAGACCCCGGGACCUUCACUAUAGCUUGGUAUUGGCGUUUGGUUCGGUUUGUGUAGGAUAGGUGGGAGACUGUGAAGCAGGCACGCCAGUGUUUGUGGAGUCAUCGUUGAAAUACCACUCUGAUCGUAUUGAACCUCUAACCUCGGACCGUAUAUCCGGUCCAGGGACAGUGCCUGGUGGGUAGUUUAACUGGGGCGG
rnacentral:rRNA from 1 species